rnacentral:rRNA from 1 species
GAGCGCAACCCUUGUCCUAGUUACCAGCACGUUAUGUGGGCACUCUAAGGAGACUGCCGGUGACAAACCGGAGGAAGGUGGGGAUGACGUCAAGUCAUCACGGCCCUUACGUCCAGGGCUACACACGUGUUACAAUGGCCGGUACAGAGGGCAGCCACCCGCGAGGGGGCGCGAAUCCCGAAAGCCGGUCCCAGUUCGGAUCGGAGUCUGCAACCCGACUCCGUGAAGCUGGAUUCGCUAGUAAUCGCGCAUCAGCCACGGCGCGGUGAAUACGUUCCCGGGCCUU